rnacentral:lncRNA from 1 species
CCAGAAUAUACAAAGAACUCAAAACACACACACACACACACAACACAAUCAGUAAAUGACAAAAGAAUUAAACAGAAGCUUCUCAAAAGAAGGAACACAAAUGGCCAACAAAGAUAUGAAAAAAAUGUUCAACAUCUCUAGUAAUCAGGGAAAUGCAAAUAAAAACUACACAAAGAUUUUAUUUUACUCCUAUCAGAACAGCAAAGAUUAAGAGUACAAAUAAUAAUAAAUACUAGAAUGGAUGUAGGGAAAAAGGUAUACUUGUACAUUGUUGGUGGGACUGCAGAUUGAUAAAACCACUCUAGAAAGUAGUAUGAAGAUUCCUCAAAAAACUAGGGAUGGAAACAUAUGACCUAGCUAUCCCACUCCUUGGUAUAUUCCCCAAAGAACUAAAAUCAGAAUACUAUAGCAAUAUCAUCAUCUCAAUGUUUAUGCAACACAAUCAACAGUAGCUAAUUUAUAAACUCAACCCAGAUGUCCAUCAGUAAACAAAUGGACUAGGAAACUGUGGGUAUAUGUACACAAUGGAGUUCUACUCAGCCAUAGAGCAGAAUGAAAUUAUGGCAUAUGCUGGUAAAUGGAUGGAAAUGGAAAACAUUAUGCUAAGGGGAAUAAGCCAGACUAAGAAGCUCAAAGGUCGAAUGUGUUCUCUCACCUGUAGGAACAAAAGUAAAAAGAAAAGUGGGGGUGGAGGUGAAUAAUAAGAUAUCAAAAUACAUAAGGAAGAUCGGUAGUGUAGACAAGGAAGAUCAAGAGGCAGGGUGGAAGGAUGGGAAAGGGGAGGCAAGGCAGAAGGAAUUCUUUAAAAAUCAUGUUAUAUGCACAUAUAAACAUACCACAGGGACUUUCACUAUCAUGAGCACUUGUAAAAGAAGAAAUCCAACUAAAUUAAAAACUGGCAAUAAUCAAACAUAAUAAUUACAGUAAACCAUUAAACUUCUAAGAUGAAUAUGAGAGUAUAAUAUUCAAAAAAAAAGAAAAAAAAAAACAGAAGUAAUCAACCAAAUGACAAAAACAAGCAUAUGAAUUUAAAUAGUAACUGAAUGUAAUAGGUCUUUACCCUUCAAUUAAAAGACAGCCUGGCUAAGUGGAUUGAAAAAUAAGAAUGAACAACAUGCUGGAUACAAGAAACUCAAGUCACCAACUCAGGCAGAACAUCCUUUCUCCUCACCAUAACUAUUUGUCUCUUUUUUGUAAAUUCCUGGUUCAUGAAUGCCAUUGUAAACUCUAGUGCCUACACAGGGUUUUCAAAGAGCUGCAAUCUUCUUGGUAAACAUAUUUCAGAAGUUAAGGGUUUUGAGGAUUAUCACAUCAUAGCCAUCUUAAUCCUUGCUCUACUUACUGAGAACUGAGGUUUAUCCACACAUACCCCCUUUCACUUUAGUAACUUUCUUCACAACUUCAAAUUUCAGCUGUCUUUCUGUAUACCACAUAGUUAUCUGCCUAAUGCGAACUUCCACAAAGUUAUCUCACAGCCACUAUGUUAACACAAUCUUAAAACCUGAGGCUCCUUAUGCUUUUUCUAACUCAAUGAGUGAUGUCACUGCACUCAGAAAUCUGGAAGUCAACCAUGACUCCUUCUUGUCUGUUAUGCCCAGUCAGCUCCCAGGUCUAUUAUUUCUACUCCUUCUUCCAAUCUUUACUAUCCCCCUAUCAAUCCUCCAUGUGCCACAAGACCCAUUGCUCUGGAAGGCAAGUUUCAUCCUCUCUCAGAACCAUAAUUAACAUAUUAAUUAUAUCCCACCAAAGUCUGGGAUCUCUGAGGUCAGAAUUGACUGAAUAGCAGCCAGAAGCAUCUGGAGUAGUAUUCAGAACUACAGUAUAUGGCAUGGAAUUUCACAGUGGAGCCAGCCUUCUCUGACCCAUAGCUAAACUAGUUCUCUAUUUUUCUCUUCAAAAAUUAGGAGAACAUUAUGUACAACCACAAGAAUGGGAUCCUAUAGGAAUAGGUUGUACUCCAUGUAUCUAUAGUAUGCAAAAUAUACUCUCCUUCAUGUAUAUCUAAAACAAAAAUAAAAACGUUGGAGAAAUGGACAAUCACUAGAAACAAAGAAAGAGGUUCUUAGUUCAUUCAUUCCUGGAGAUGAGCCAGUAGAGUACCAUUGUAAACCAACCCCAAACUGAUUUAGACCAUUAACUUUGGCAACUAUGAAAAGCUACACCUUUUGUCCAAAUAAAUUAUUGAAAAUGACUUCUUCCUGUGUAAUUUUAAAGAAUAUCUUUUUGUUGCCCAUUUCUGAUUUUCUAUACAUUAUGGACUCCUUCCUCCCAAGAAACUGAAUAUACUAAAACUUUAAGGAGCUCAAAAUGUUUUAACAGUAUAUUUUAAGUGUUUUUACUAAAAAAAUGAUAAAUUUGAUAUGUCAAAAUGUAUUCUACUGUCAUGUAUAAGUAAUUAGAAUGAAUAAAAAAUUUAAAAAAGAAGAUGAAAGGGAAGAAGGAAAAUAUUAUGGAAUAUGAAGAAGAGGAAAAGCAUGUGUGGAAUAAGUGUGUAUGUAAAAGAACUACAUUCUAAACAUCUAUGGCAAUCAAUGAUGUUAAUUAUUACUAAAAAGAUCAAUACAUAGCAGAAUAAAUAUGUUAUUUUGCAGCAUGGACAAAAAUGCCCAAAGAAAUAGCUGAAAGUAUUCAAAGAAGUUGUUUAUGGAGAGUGGGAAAAUUUUUCCAGGGGAUUAUCUAGAUUUUGCUCUAUGUCUUGCUGUAGUAUUUGAGUUUUACAAUGAUGUACAUUAUUAUUUUGAUUAAAAAAGUAAUAGAGUAAUUAAAUAAUUGUUGUGUUACCAAAAUUAUAAGGAUUUACAGUGAUGCAUGUGUUAAAUUAGAGCCAACUUGAGCCA